ACUCGCUUCGCCAGCACAUACUAAAACUGUAAUGAUACAGAGAAGAUUAGCAUGGCUCCUGUGCAAGGAUGACAUGCAAAUUUAUGAAGCGUUCCGUAUUUUU
ensembl:snRNA U6 U6 spliceosomal RNA